AAAUAAUUUGAAUUUUUUUGAGAUUGCGCAGUUGAUAAAACUCCAUUUAAUCUUGAAGAGAAGUAACGCCAGUUAUGAUUAUUUAUUAUUUAACCUAAAUUAAUCCCACAAUUAACAGUUAAAUACGUCUUUAGUCAUUUGUGAAUUUGAUAUAUUGUCAUAGAGAGAAAAUGACGUAAUGAGCUUAAGGAAAAGGAGGACUGAACAAACCUUCGCGAUGGCUGCUAAUUCCAUAACCGUUCAGUGGAAUGCGCAUUACUCUGCCCUCCUCCACCUGCUAAAAAAUGCGAGAAGAGAGGGUUGGUAUUGUGAUGCAACUGUCCUGUGCAACGGCAAGUAUUAUUCUGUGCACAAGUUUGUCUUGGCAGCGUGCAGCGAUUACUUUGAAGAGAUGUUUGACAAGAUCAGCGGCAAACACCCCAUGAUCGUCAUGACGGACAUGAAAACGGCUCGUCUGGAGGCACUGCUGUCCUACAUGUACGAGGGGGAGGUUGACAUCAUGCAGGAGGAUUUGGCCGGGUUCAUGGAGACUGCGGAAGCCUGGAAGGUCAAGGGCUUGUCCAGCUCCAGCGACGAGCAGGAGCAAGCAGAGGGCGGAAGGAGAGGCCAGAAUGCCCCGACCGAGCGGCACGUCUCUCCUCCAGUGGCGGAUCAAGUGCAGGAGUACAGCAAGCGGAGAAUGGCCCUCAACAACGACUGGCAGAAGGCGAAGCGCAUGAGGUACACCGAGAUGAUCAGAGACCUGCCCCCAAUUUCGGUCACGGAAGAGCCCUUUUCGCAGAAUGCCUGUGGGGAGUUGGGGCACAACCCUAACAUACCCAGCAUUGUUCCAGGCUCUGCUGUCAGUCUGAGUGCACCCAUGAAAGCUUGCAGUGCCGCUGCUGAGGUCAAGAAAAAUGCCGAUCCUAAUAGAAGCCCAGGAGGUGUUCAGGCUCAGCAGGGAGAGAGUAAUAAGGUUCAGCGUAAAGGGGAGAGUCAGAACUGCGUCGAUGAUGCUGGUUCAGACGUUUCAGCGGAGGAUAUUAUGGUAGUGGAUUUGAAGUUAGAACCCGGAGAAGUAGUAGAAAAUUUUGGUACAUAUCAGGCAGGCCCUUUUGCUACUCCAUCAGCUAGAUAUUCCCUUGACACCCCGAGUAAUAAUGACUGUGUUCAAGAUGGUGUGAGCGACUAUCACCAAGUAAGAGGCAGACGUAAAUCGAAGACAGGAGGAGAUAAUAGCAACACACAAAUCCAGGUCACGCCACUGUCGUCGGUUCAGAGAGAGUGUGUUGAGUUAAGAGAUUUUCAGCAGCUGCAGGGUGCAGCCAAGCUACCGAAAGGCCAGAGAAAAUACACAAAAGAUAAUGCAUCAUCUGUUGUCUCAAGCCAACUAGAUACCCCAAAGAGUGCAGCAUCCAAGGGGAAAAGAAAAACUGAAGGUCCAAAGCAGAACCUCCUUCUCACUGGGGGAAAGAGGAAAUAUACAAGAAAGAACACAAAGGUCAAGCAAACAAAUCCCAGUGGUGGAAGCAGACCUGAUAUGGGAAAGGAAGGCGUACCAAAGAGAAAAGUUGGACGGCCUCGCAAGAUAAUCCAGCCUCCCGUUUCUAACAGUGACAGCACUCCAUCCUCAGUAAUACCUAAGCAAACAGAUGAGAUGCAGUCUAUGCAUGUUGGAGGAGAAGAGAGCAUAAGCUCUCCCCCGAACUCCAAGCAAGUGAAGGAUCAGAAUCUCUGUCCCGAGUCCUACAAGGAAAAUGAAAGAAUAGAGAAGUCACCGCUGCCCGAAGUUUCACAACUGGAAACUGUAGCUCCCUUUACAAGCUUGCAGUGUAGAAAUGAAAACUCAGUUACACCUCCUGUGACACUGGAACCUCCUCCAGAGGAAAACACAAACAGAUCGCAGAGCAGUGCUAGGCGAUUAGCAGCAUCCAAAAGAAGAACGAGUUUACUGAGGCAGUUCCGAAAGGAAGCCCCCGUUGUUUCCGAAAAUUCCCAGCCGUCCUCAGAGGAAGAACAGAAUAGAAAAUCUCAGAGUGCCACACAAGUUGGAGGGAAAGUGCCGUGGAUUAACCGCAAGAAAAGAAUCCCCAACUCGAGAAGAUGGUCAAAACCAAAGAAAAAUAAGUCAUACAAGAAGUUACGCAGAGCUAGUGCAAAAGAGCCUGGUAAGUUAUUGAGAGAAUCAGACACUUUAUCAGUGGAAUACGACAAAACAGAGAUGGUUUCCAGUAGAUUGUUAACAGGAUCUGAUGACGUGUUAACAGAGUCAGAUAAGACAGAACCACCUCCAAAUAAGAUGACGUUGGGAUCGCCCUGUUCGGAAACUGAAAGUCCACAUCAAGAGGAGUCAGCAGCACAAGGGGCAGUUCCUUCAGUAGAGGUCGCAGAAAUUGGAAACCAAGAGAACGCGAGCCUAUCUCUUGAAGAAGGGGAAGCCCCAAAGGAAGGAAAUAAUGAACAACAGAAGUCUUUGAAAGAUGAUGAAGCUGAAGUUGGCAUCGAGACAGAGGAUCACCCUCUCGUUCCAUUGCCAGUUCUUUUUUUAUCGAGUCCAAUGCCGGAGAGAGAGAAACUCCACUGUAGUCAGUUGUCCACGAGCGAGCAUAAUGAUUCAAUCGGAAAGAUACAAAAGAUUUCAGAAAUUUAGUUCGAGAAGUGAGACUGGCCUCUCACUUUCUUUAUGUUAAAAAAAAGUUAUGUUCAAUUGUAAAUUUUAUUAAUCUUUCUUUGUUUCUUUCUCUCUUUCUUCCUGUACCCUGUCUCCUGUUAUGAACUUUUUGAUAUUUAAAAUAGGUUUUUGCAGAAAACAGGACAUGACUUACAUUAGCACCCUUGUGAGCGAGACACUUGUCAUAAGAGAUAUAAAAGCUCCUAUGACUCAGAACCAACACUUUUAUUAAUAUUUAAAGGAAAUUACACAUGUAUUCUUCUUGAUGCAUGUCCAAGUCCUAAAUGAUUUACUAAAAUCCUCCUCAUUCUAUAGGCAUUAAGUACAAAAUUUAUUAUCCUUGUGCAUUUUCUUUCCAUUUUGCGAGGACAUGAUAUAACGUUGUUGUCUACUUUUGGCUUCACAACAGUUUUUAACACAAGGUGUGCUCUGGGAGGUGUUUGUACUGUAGUUUCACUCACAGAUUAUUUUGUCUGUCCUUUAUUUUCCUGAAAAGAAAAGGAAAAGUCUACCAAAAAUAUAUGUAAUAUAUCAUAUAGAGUAUUUUUAGUUAGCUGUAAGUGAAUGGUCUGUUAAUUUUUUUUGUUUUUAUUGAUUUUGGGUCUUAUUUUUAUAUUAAUGUUAUUGAUGUUGAGUCAGUAUAUACUUAAGCACGAGACUUCAUUAAAUAAGUGUAGAAAACAGUGUCAGUAUACGAAUAUUGUUUACCAAAAGCUUUUUGUCUCUUGUAGAUUACUGUAUGUAUGGGUACAUAAUGAAAGGAAAAUUGUGAUAAAGAAUAAUUCUCAACAAAUUUGACAAUCUGUAUGAAAUUUUUACUUUCAAAUUAUUUUGAUACACUAGAAGGUUCACUUGAUUUAAGAAGUAUUCAUUGGUAUUACUUCUGUUCUGUAUAUAUAUUAAUUUGAGUUGCAGAUUCAGAAUAUCUUGUAUGCUGUAGUGCCGUGUGUUACUUUCGAUCUGGACAAAAUAUCUUUAUUCUUCAUACUGAUACUAAUAUGUAGAUGAAGAUUAAACAUUGGUUAAGUGC
rnacentral:misc_RNA from 1 species